rnacentral:rRNA from 1 species
CCAGACUCCUACGGGAGGCAGCAGUGGGGAAUAUUGCACAAUGGGGGAAACCCUGAUGCAGCGACGCCGCGUGAGUGAAGGAGUAUUUCGGUAUGUAAAGCUCUAUCAGCAGGGAAGAAAAUGACGGUACCUGACUAAGAAGCUCCGGCUAAAUACGUGCCAGCAGCCGCGGUAAUACGUAUGGAGCAAGCGUUAUCCGGAUUUACUGGGUGUAAAGGGAGCGCAGGCGGCGCGCCAAGUCUGGUGUGAAACCCCGGGGCUCAACCCCGGGACUGCAUUGGAAACUGGCGGGCUGGAGUGUCGGAGGGGCAGGCGGAAUUCCUGGUGUAGCGGUGAAAUGCGUAGAUAUCAGGAGGAACACCGGUGGCGAAGGCGGCCUGCUGGACGACAACUGACGCUGAGGCUCGAAAGCGUGGGGAGCAAACAGGAUUAGAUACCCCAGUAA